GAAGUUUCGUCUUGCAACAGACAUAGCACUUUGCUGUUCACAGACACACGUGUGUGUCCCCUCUCUCCACAGGCCUGUCAUGCACCGAAAUGUCCGCUACAACUGCAGGGUGAUAUUUCUCAACAGGAGGGUCCUGCUCAUCAGACCCAAAAUGGCCUUGGCCAACGAAGGCAACUACCGGGAGCUGCGCUGGUUCACCCCGUGGUCACGGAGCCGGUGAGUCGCCGUGCCUUGUCGUGGCCUCUCCGUGGAUGCUUGUGUCACAUCUUCCUUGGGCGGAGCCGUGGUCCACGUCAGGGGGGAGAUACGUGAGAACUGGGGGCAAGUUCCUGCCAUUUUAGGUACGGCUGUCUUGAGGCUGCUGGUUACAGUACAGCCACGUUAUCACGGAAGGCUCGUCGGCCGUGGCCGUUAGGCAUCUCGUGUCUGGAGCCAUCCUGUAUGCCAGGGUCUCUCAGCCCCAGCCCGAGGCUCGGGCUGUCCCAUGCAUGGCACGCAGUGCGGCAGCGCCCCUGGCUUCCCCCGUAGGUAGUCCGUUUGUGACCAGCCCGGAUGUGUCCCGACUUUACCAAAUGUGCCCUGGGGGCACGGUCACCCCUGGGUGAGGAACCUGCCCUGUGCUCUUUCUGGGUUCCUGGUGUGCAUGUCGCUCUGCUGCUCUUGCAGGUAGAGCCUUUAACAGCGUGUCUCAAAUGCUCCGUAGUUGGAUGUAGGAGAACGUCGGGGGCUUGUGUAUUUCCGCCACCCCCUUCCUGCACAGUUCUGUGGGACUUUCCUCACUGUCCUGGGCUGACCAGCUGCCUGCACCACUGUCUCUGACGAGUUGCUCAUUCGCUUGCACAUGGCUUCUAGUAGAUUCCAGAGAUUCCCACCACCCCCUCCUGAGUUUGAUUUCUAGAUCACGGUUUACUCUUCGAGGAUAUAAUCAGGACAGCCAGGUGGGAAAGAUGCACAGGGCCGGCCGUGGGGGUCCACCACUGUCCCUGGAUCUCCACGCAGUCGCCAACCCGAGAGCUCCCCAAACCUCCUUGUGCUUUGCCAUUUUCUGGAGGCUUCCUUACAAGGCAUGAUUGUUGGCCUUUGGCCACUGAACUUGAUCCCCGGCCUGGCUCCCUCCCUGGGUCCCAAAGCUCUAAUUUCCUGAUCCCCUGGGUUGGCUCCUGCAACCUGAGGCCUUUCCCACUGACACCAUUAACAUGGAAACGCCUUUAUGGCUCUUAUCUCCGGAAAAUCCACGGGCUUUAGCUGCUCAGUGCCAGGAAGACCAAAUAUAUUUCUUAUGAUAUAUCAUAAUAUCAUACUUUCUAAGCAACAGUCCACCGAAGGUGAAUUUUUGAUACCUUGCCUGCCUGCAGAUGUCUUUAUUGGACUCUUAUGUGUGAUGAUUAGUUUUGCAGAAUUAAAAACAAAACUCCUAGGUUAAAAAUAACCUUCCUGCGUAGGUAUCAUUUGUAGGAUUGCUUUUGGCUUGUGCCCUCGCUGGGAAGAAGCCCUGGUGCUACUGCAGGUCUGCUUUGCUCUCAUGUGAUUAUUUUCUUUUCUCCAGGGCACGCGGAGAAAUUUCUUGUUAUCUUUGGUCUUUUAAAAUUUAUAUGAGCCUUGGUGUGGGUCUUUGGGCCUUUGUGUGAGGCCCUUUGACCCUGUGACCUG